UCCGUCAUGGUGUAGUGGCUAGCAUUUCAGACUCUCAUGAUUACUUCUUGCAAGUAUCCUGUGAACUCUGAGAACCCGGGUUCAAUUCCCGGUGACGGAA